CACGGGGGGUGCAAGCGUGAUUCGGAAUCACUGGGCGUAAAGAGCGCGUAGGCGGUCUCUUAAGUCAGAUGUGAAAUCCCGGGGCUCAACCCCGGAAGUGCAUUUGAAACGAAGGGACUUGAGUAUGGGAGAGGGAAGUGGAAUUCCUGGUGUAGCGGUGAAAUGCGUAGAUAUCAGGAGGAACACCGGUGGCGAUGGCGACUUCCUGGACCAAUACUGACGCUGAGGCGCGAAGGCGUGGGGGGCAAACAGG
rnacentral:misc_RNA from 1 species